rnacentral:lncRNA from 1 species
CGAGAACAUCGUAGCGAACACGGUGCUACUCAAGGCCCGGGAAGGAGCCUGAAGCAGGAGAAGCACGUGUGUCCUGGAACGCAGCAAGGGCGUGCUGGAGCGUGCAGAGGGAAGGCCUGAGGUGCUGUUCUGCCUCAGCUCUGCCUUGGCUGGGCCCUAGAGGCCGUGGACCGCACUGAGGACCCAGAGGCAGUUCUGAGGCAGUGGGACUCGAGACCCAGUGUCCUAUUGCUCCCACAGGUGGCGGUGGAAAUCGCAAAGGCAAAAGCAAGAAAUGGCGGCAGAUGCUCCAGUUCCCUCACAUCAGCCAGUGCGAAGAGCUGCGGCUCAGCCUCG